AUGGUUGUCGUCAGCUCGUGUCGUGAGAUGUUGGGUUAAGUCCCGCAACGAGCGCAACCCCUAUUGCUAGUUACCAUCAUUAAGUUGGGGACUCUAGCGAGACUGCCAGUGAUAAACUGGAGGAAGGUGGGGAUGACGUCAAAUCAUCAUGCCCCUUAUGACCUGGGCUACAAACGUGAUACAAUGGCUGGAACAAAGGGAUGCGAAGCAGUGAUGUGGAGCGAAACCCAUAAAAACAGUCUCAGUUCGGAUUGAAGUCUGCAACUCGACUUCAUGAAGUCGGAAUCGCUAGCAAUCGCGGAUCAGAACGCCGCGGUGAAUACGUUCUCGGGCCUU
rnacentral:rRNA from 1 species